AUUGAUCGCUGGCGGCAGGCCUAACCCAUGCAAGUCGAGCGUGCGGCGGACGGGUGAGUAAUGUCUGGGCCACUGCCUGAUGGAGUGGGAUAACUACUGUAAACGGUAGCUAAUACCGCAUACCAUCAGAUUUUCCUAGAUGGGAUUAGCUAGUAGGUGGGGUAACGGCUCACCUAGGCGACCAUCCCUAGCUGGUCUGAGAGGAUGACCAGCCACACAGGAACUGAGAAACUGUCCAGACUCCUACGGGAGGCAGCAGUGGGGAAUAUUGCACAAAGGGCGCAAGCCUGAUGCAGCCAUGCCGCGUGUGUGAAGAAGACCUUCGGGUUGUAAAGCACUUUCAGCGGGGAGGCGUUACCCGCAGAAGAAGCACCGGCUAACACCGUGCCAGCAGCCGCGGUAAUUC
rnacentral:rRNA from 1 species